rnacentral:rRNA from 1 species
UACAGAGGUGGCAAACGUUGUCCGGAUUUAUUGGGUGUAAAGGGCAUGUAGAUGGUUUUGUAAGUCAGAUGUGAAAUCCCCGAGCUCAACUUGGGAACUGCGUUUGAAACUACAAGACUAGAAUAUGUCAGAGGGGGGUAGAAUUCCACGUGUAGCAGUGAAAUGCGUAGAGAUGUGGAGGAAUACCAAUGGCGAAGGCAGCCCCCUGGGAUAAUAUUGACGCUCAUGCACGAAAGCGUGGGGAGCAAACAGG